CCAAGUGCAGCCGCAGCUAUGAACUGUGUCACUAAGUAAACGUAGAAGUUUGGAGACACACCAACUACUAUGACAAAUAUCACCAUGAGGACGGCUGGCAACAGCGUGGAUCUCCUGCGGCCGAACCUGAAGUUUGGAGACUACAGGUCCAAACACAAGCGAGCCGAUGAGUAAACCUGUCAUGAAGACCGUCUGCACAAUUUCAGCCAUGUUAGACUUCCCACAGACCAGAUCAAACUGCAAAACGAUGACAAGAUCAGUGGACGUAGAUGACAUCAAAGAAGACAUAAUGAAUCAAACUGUGCUUACUUACAUCAGUGACUAUGGUGGCUUCAUACAGCAUGUUUCCAUACACCCAUCCAUUCAGACACCUGGUGGUCUCAUUGAGUCCAUUUUCUCUGAUGGCAUCGAUGUCCCAGUCCACAGGGACGAACAUCUGACACCUGCUGAAGCUCCCAUCUUCCUCCCGGGGCAGAGUCAGGUUCAGCUGCUCCUCUGUGGUCAGAUUAGGACCAGCACUAAGGAUCCAGUCUGUGUUACAGCGUCGCUCUGGAUCUGUAUCAACAAAAAGGAAACUACUAAGGAAAGUUGCCAUUAAGAAAUGCGGCAGAGCCAACCCAAGAGUGAUCAGCUUUUGGAAGAAGCCGAACUCUCCGAUGCUUUUCAGAAUCUCUCCAAAUUCCAGCAUUCUCGCGCAGCAGAUGAUGAGGGAAGACAGCUGCAGUCCAAAUGAGGAUCAAUAUUUAACUGAAUCAGUGACGGACCACGUGGGGAGGCCACAUCCAUAUCUGAAUGCUAACUCUGUUUACUAAUGGUUGACCUGUUAAAUGAAGAAGGUGAAAAGAGGGAUUUAUCACAUGCUUUAAACAAACACUCUUAUCCACUCAUUGUAGUUCAUAAUGUGACUUUAUUGAACUCCUAAAAAUCAGGCUGCAUGUGUUGAAAUUUUCCAACAACAUAUAUAUUGGUCAAGGAAUCUCCUUUGCAUCUUAUCACAAAUAUCCUGCUUCAAAUUCAAAUUAUGCAUGUGUGGAUGUACACAUUUUAUGAUUAAGCACAUUUAAAAAAUAGAUGAAAUGAUCUGUAAAAAAGAAAAUUACAAGGAAAAUGUAUUUGCCAAUCAGUUAAUUUAAUACAAAUCAUUCAGGAGAGGCAGAAUGAGGUUUUGUUUUUAUGAGUAAACAAUAAAAUAGAAAGAAAUUUAGAAAGUCGAGGUGACUUUCAGCACAAACUCUUUGACGAUCAAUCGUUUCAUCACCAAAUCACACGCACACACAAACACACAGGGAGAGAGAAAAGUGUGACUUGUGCCGUCCGUCUGGUUAAAAUAAUGUUCUUUAUCCAUUAGCCUGGUUUCAGUGAGAAAAGCUGCAUAUCAUGACAUCAAAACAGAGUGUGAUUACAAGCCCCAUGUGAUUCCAAAAUAUGCAUGUUAACGUAUCAAUAAGGUGUCAAUUGAACUAAUAAUCUGUGCAUGAUUAGUGACGCUCUGACAAAAAGGCCAAUAGUGGAAAAACACUACAAAACAAAUCAAAUGCUGUGGACUGAACAAGAUGAGUCUCAAUCGGUUUGCCUUAAUCAAUAUUUACAAGUAAAAUAUUUCUUUUUUUGUUUGUUUUAUCUGGCAUGUACACUUCAACAGUCAAUGCAUCUACAUCGUUACAUACAAACCUCAUGAUGUUUGUGUGACAGUGCUUGGAGUUGCCAUCAUAUGUACAUUUACAACAUCUUUACAUACACCAUUUACAUCGGUACCUGAACUAGGAGCUACAUCACAGCCCUUUGCACGUGGUACAAAACAACCAUACAGCUACACUGGGAGUGACGAGUGAUUUCCUUGGUGAGUGUUUAGAAAGCAAAGAGACUACAGUGCUGUCAAACUAACUUGAAUAGUGACAAAAACAACUAAUAUAAGAACUGGUUUCUGAAGACAUUUGAAGGGUUACUUCACCCAAUAUAUGAAAAUAGUGGUACGCAGCCAUGCUGAUAGGUUUGGAUUGAUUUACUGAGGCUUUAAGAGAUUCGUUGUAACCUUUGAUGCACAACAUGGGUCAAAAGUGACCCAUAUUCAAUGGAAAAUGGGUAUCUCUUGACCCAUGUUGUGCAUCCAAGGGUUAAUACUGCAGCUCCUCAAUACAGUGGAGGUGGAUGGAGUUGUGCGAGCGGAGCUCAUGGCAUUAAAAGCAAGUUUACUGUCAGACAAGCAGCUCAGUGGGAUUAAACUGAGCUAAAUAUAAUGUCAGAAUUCUAACAUGCUCAUAUUUCGCAGGUAGCUGGAGUUUGCUAAUUAACAGCAAAGAAAGUAUUGGGGAAAAUUGAAAUUUUGACUUCAUUGUGGUGCUACAGGGAAAAAAAAAUCAGAGUAUUAAGAGUUCUACUCGUGUCUUUAAUGGCAGCCCAUUCAUUAAUGUGUGGUUUUCUAACAAGCAAAAACGUCAUCUUGCUGGAGAAAGUCAUUAAAUUUAAUCGUCUAAGAACCACAAACUCUUGUGCCAAUCAAGAUGGUGAGGUUUCACAGAUAAAAUGAAACUCUGACCGCUAAUUUUAACAGGAUUUGUCUUUUAGUGAACUCAAUUCAUGGUGUUUCAUUCAGUAGUUUUUGAGUUAUUGACUUAAAAAAAAAAAAAUCACUGCUAUCCAUACUAUCCAGAGUCCAUUUAUUUCCAUUGUAUCUGGCUGCAGUAAAACUCUCACAUCUCUCAAAAUCUCAACAGUAAGUCCAAAACUAUCUGCUUGGCUGAUGACAAAUUUGAUCUUCGAACUGGGUGAACUGCCCCUCGCAGUUUUAUUUUGCAUUGGAAGAGCAUUUUCAGUUUUUCAACAUGCGUACCUCCACAGAAGUUCAUCAGCAGUCAGCCUGUAACAUGAGCCGACUGGGGCUCGACACUCAUAACCAGCAUUCAGGAUUCUUCCCAGCUGUCAGAUCAGUCAUUUAAAGGCUCUAACUUAAAGGGGAACGCAGAAAAUGAUCUAUCAUUACCCGUGUCUGUCUGUUUUUUUAUGUUAGUUUGCUGACGUAUUUGUUGAAAUGAAAGUAAAAUUCUCGCUGCAGGUUCUGAGAGCUGCCGCUUUUGUUGGUUGACUCUUCAUGAACUUCUUUUUUUUUUGAGGUACGAGCACAGAAAGUGGUUUUAUUCAACACAAGAGAAAUAAUAUUAGCAACCGGUGGUCACACACGGUGAAAAGAAAACAGCUAUUGCAUAGUAUAAGAAUAUCAGGCAGGUCUCAAUCUGUGAAAAUAAUCCUGUCUUUAAUAUCUCAGGAAAACACCAUCUCACUAAGUGUUCUAUUGUAAAUAAUUAUCAAGUUUUUACAGCUGAUCUGACACUCCUUUUUUGUUCUGACAAAAACAUGACACCGAUACAGUGGAGGAGAGAAUUCAUCGAACUGCCGUGGGCCGCCUUAUACAGGAGAACGGAUUCUUUUUAAGGUUUUGAGUUUAAAUUCAUUUGAACUUAGAGAAUUACAAAACAAAAACUAUGCUACAGAGUGUUUAGAAGGUUUCUGUAUCAAAGUGAAGGGAUUUUCAUAGAAUACACCUAAUAAUCACAGACUGACUUAAUUUUUCACCAAUCACACUGGUAAAGUCUAUAGUAACUAAGGCUGAACUUACACUUUUCAAUUUCAGUGCAGCAUAAAGUGCCAUAUAAAGGUGGCACGAUACUCCCAUGAGUUUUGUGGCACAGUUGAUUUUUUUUUUUUUUUUUUUUUUUUUUUUU